GGAUUAGAUACCCUGGUAGUCCAUGCUGUAAACGAUGAACACUCGCUGUUGGCGAUAUACUGUCAGCGGCCAAGCGAAAGCGUUAAGUGUUCCACCUGGGGAGUACGAUCGCAAGGUUGAAACUCAAAGGAAUUGACGGGGGCCCGCACAAGCGGUGGAGCAUGUGGUUUAAUUCGAUGAUACGCGAGGAACCUUACCUGGGCUUAAAUGGUAUUGGACCGACGCCGAAAGGUGUCUUUCUUUAUGACUAGUAUCAAGGUGCUGCAUGGCUGUCGUCAGCUCGUGCCG
rnacentral:rRNA from 1 species